AGCUCCUCCCCUCGGGGCAGGGGCCUCCUCUAGGUGGUACUUCCUCGCCCCCAAGCGACGGACUCCGGGAGUCCGGAAGCGUCUCGGACCGCGUCGGCCUCUUCGAUCCCCGCCUUUCGGUGGCACGUGAUUCGACCCUUGGCUGGCUCUGGGCGCUUCCCAAAGGCAACCACCGGUGCGGGAAUGGGUGAAUCCAGGCAGUGAGGCGACCUUCCCAGAGCUGUGAACAGGUCUCUGUGGGAGAACUCCAAUUGAGCUCAUAUGUGCUCAAGGACUCCCUGUGGCAUUUCCUGAGGCUUUGGGGAGCCUACAUCACAGUUCUCUCUCCAAUCCUGCAUCCUCACAUCCAACAGAAAAGUGGUCCCUGGGGCACCUGGCUGGCUCAGGUAGUUAAGUGGUUGCCUUCAGCUCAGAUACUUUUGACUGCUUAUCUGGGCUAUAUUCUUCGAGUGAGCACAUAACCACCAAAUGCAUCUUUAAAAUUAAUUAAUCUUUAAAGUCUCCCAAGAGAAGAAAAGAAACAGAAAAAACAUGAGAGAGAGACACAGCGAAAGAGGGAGUACAAUCAGGGGGAGUGGGAGAGGGAGAGGAGCAGGCUUCCUGCAGAGCAGGGAGCCGGAUGCUGGCCUCGAUCCUAGGACCCUGGUAUCCUGACCUGAGCCGAAGGCAGACGCUUAACAACUGAGCCACCCAGGCACCCCGAAUUGUACAUUUUAAAUAGUUGUUACUCUGAAAUGCUGCUGCCAAGUCAUCUCACAUGACUCCAACGAGGCUCAGAGCAAACCCACCCACCUCUUGAGUUCAACAUGACAUUGACCCUCUUCUGUCCCCACAUAUGGUUCUCUCAUCUGUACAUUUCUCUGACUUCAUCUCCCUGCUUCUCCUCACUUUGACUUGGGAUCUUCCUGCUGUGUAUCUGCUAUCCUUCAAAUAAAUGCUUCAUGCGAGCUGACAAUAGCUUGUGUGUUCUAUAGUUGUAGAUUUGAUUCAGUUCAGUGCCAGUCAAUACCUCUUCCAUGGCCCUGCCGGGUUCUCUGAAACAGCCAUGCUACAUCCAAUAGGCAACGGUAGAAGACACCUGGGGACAGGCACUUUGGAUCACAUUGUGGGUUGUCUGGCUCCUCAACAUCUCAAUGUUAGCUGUUACAAUUACGCCAUCAAGAGAGAUGCCAAGCCUCUCUCCUUCCAGCUGGGCAGGCUCCUUUAACCUACCUCAUGGAUGCCUCAUUCAUUCAUUCAUUCAUUCUUUCAUUCAUUCAUAUGCAGUUUAUUCCUCCUGGGCUCAGGCAAUUCACUCUCACCCCCCACAAGGAAGUCACCAGUUCUUUCUGAUUCACCAAAUCUUUCCCUAGCUCAAGCCCCACCUCCUAAGCAUUCUCUACUUGCUACCGCCCUGUUCACCUUUGCUUUUUCCCACAGUCUUUUGAGGAUCCUCUUUCAUUUUACAAUUAUUACCUAGCACAUAAUAAUGUCCUUGUUUUUUUUAUUUUUUUUAACAUUUUAUUUAUUUACUUGACAGAGAAAGACAAGAGUGGGAACAGAAGCAGGGGGAGUGUGAGAGGAAGAAGCAGGCUUCUCACUGAGCAGGAAGCCUGAUGUGGGGCCUCCAUCCCAGGACCCUGGGAUCCUGGCCUGAGCCGAAGGCAGAUGCUUAACAACUGAGUCACCCAGGCACCCCAACAAUGUCCUUAUAAUGGGUCUUCUCUGUAGUUCUCUGUGUCAGGGGAUGUUGUGGUCAGUUUUGCUGUGUUUUUUUGUUCCUUUACUUCUGGCUUAAGCUGUCCCUUUUUGCAGUAGAAAAAGAAAGGGGGGGGGGAGAUUUUUCUUUCUUUUUAAAGAUUUUAUUUAUCUAUUUGAGAGAGAGAGAGAGAACAUGAGAAGGAGAGGUCAGAGGGAGAAGUAGACUCCCUGCAGAGCUGGUAGCCCGAUGUGGGACUCGAUCCCAGGACUACAGGAUCAUGACCUGAGCCAAAGGCAGUCGCCCAACCAACUGAGUCACCCAGGCGCCUGAGAGGGGAGAUUUUUUAGUUAGGAGCUGUGAUACAGAUCUGUACCAGAAUGGCUGCCUCUGGCUGGUAAGUACUGACCCCCAAAAGAAUAAAUCAUCAGUUCAUAUUUAAUGCUUUUUCAUACUGUCUGGGUCACUGUCUUCCUGUGUGACUCUCAUGUGUGGUGUUUUUGUUUUUAACUUCAUGGGUCCUGACCAAGUCAUGGCUUACUACCUCUCAGUCUGCCUCAGUGGUUCUCUUCCUUUCAUUUGCCCUAAAAUAAGUGAUCUGCAAAGCUCUGCCCCAGCAUUUUUCUUUCUCCUUUGUAUACACCUGUUCUUUCUCUGUGGUCUUACCAAUGCCCACUAAACUCUUACCUCCACAAGUCCCGGCCUUGACAGGAUCCCACUUGUGAGCUGCUCCCCACACCAGGCUGUGAUAGUAGGGGCCCCGUUCACCUGAUGGGGUGAGGUGAGGUUGAAUGGGGUUCUGCUUUCAUGGCAGACCCAAAAUAUUGAGCAGGCCAUUACAACCUGGGUACUGGCGACACACCAGCAGGCCAGGCAUCUACCUCCACUAGGAAGCUUACAGCCAGCUCCACUGGUGCUCAGAGUCUGGACAUCUUAGGGUAUCCCAGCCUAUACCCCAGACUUGUAUCCCAGUCAGCUGGGGAGAGCUUAAUCCUGCCAGCCGUAUUUCUUUUUCCCAAUCUUCUUCCCCUUGUCUUUGAUAUAUUUCCCCAGGUGCUGGGAAUGCUAGUGUCAGAACUGGGGUUUCCACUCUACUCCGGCCACAUGCUCCUUCAAGGUGGGGGUUAGUGUCUCCUCCCUCUGUUGGAUGUUACUCGUGAUCAGAUUAAAGAGCCAGACCUGUCUUCCCAAGUCUUUACCCAGCUGCCUUAUCCCUGCUUCCUCCGAUCUCUCUGUCCUUGUUCCCAGUACACCAAGUGGCUGUGUGGUCGGCAAUCAUUCUGGAAUUCACAAGAGUCCCCCCGCCAUGCAUAUUACCUUGAAAUGUACACCCAAACUCAGACCUUUCUCCCCAACCCAGCCUGACUCAUCUGCUGCAGUCUCUCUUCUCAGGUUGUGCUUGACACAUCUAAACCAAAUCUCAUUCUUUUCCAGUUAAUGAAUUCCUCUUCUCCUUGUUCCUCUACUUUGGUUAAUCAUUUCCCAGUGACACAAGCCUCCCAACCUUCAAAUUAGUUGUUAGAAUUUGUCGAAUCAGUUUUUCAAAAGAAGUUGAGAUGCCACAUAGAGUAGCGGUUACUGUGACACCAGAAUUCCCAACUCCAUCACAAAAUAUCUGGGUAACCUGAGGAUGGUGAUGGAACUUCUCUGUGCCUGGGUUGUCCCAUCUGUCAGAUGGGAAAAACAACUCUCCCUGUAUCAUAAAACUGCCAUAUGCUAAAGUACUUGGAAGAAUGCUCGUCGCAUUGUGUCACCCUCCUACUAUUUUUAUCUAUUUCCCCCCCAGAACCUUCGAUUCCAUGAUGGCCAUUCAUUUCAUUCCCCCUAGUUCAUCUCUUCACAGAACUUGUUCCUUAGCUCCUGUUCCUUCCUCUCUCAGCUGUUCUUGCUGCAUGCUGGAUAGAGCUUUCUGAAGCAAGGCUUCAGUCACCACUGCUUUUCUCCAUCACCUCUGGCUCUCACCAGGAUGACGGAAAUAGUUCCCCAUCUGGUCGCAUUGAAUCUCCUUGUGUCUUUUCUAACCACCUCCAUAUUCUUGUCCCAUCUGAUCUCCUCAUAUCCCUGUUCAAAACACUGUGGUGGAUUCCCAGCACUCCUGGAAUAAUUAUAGCCCACAGCCUUGCUACUUCAAGUAUGACCCUGGAGCUUGUUAGAAAUGCAGAAUCUUGGUUCCCAUCCCAGACCUAGUACAUCUGAAUUCGCAUUUUAACAAGAUCUCUCCCAUUAAAGUUUGAGAAGCCCUGCUCUUUGAGGCCUUAGAUGGUCUGGUCUUCUUUCUUCAACAGCCUGUUCCUGCUCUACUUCUCCCCUUGCUCACUGAGCCUAAUUGUGUUCCUGCCUUUCUGACCUCCUUUAGGUCCUUCCAAUAUCCCAGAAUUCUCAUUACCACAAGACCUGGUACCUAUGCUUCCCACAACCCAUGCUGUUCCCAUCAUCCUUUUGCUUUUGCCUGGCUACUUCCUUCAGGCCUCAGCUCAACUGUCAUUUAAUCAAAGAAGGCUUUUCUGACUCCUAAAACCAGGCCAGAUCUCCUUAUUAUUCAGUUGUAGCAUCUUGUGCUUUUCCUUUAGAACACCUAAUGCAAUUUGUAAUCAUACAUUUAUUUGCGUGAAUAUUUCAUGAAUGCUUAUCUCUCCCCCUAGACCCCAACUCUAUGAAGAUAGAAACCCAUGUUUGUUUUGCUUAUCUUUGUAUUCCUCAGAUUCUAGUACAGUCCCUGGAAUAUUUUAAGUGCUUAAUAAAAUAUAUCUAUUGCUGCCUUUGUUCAUUCACAUGAGAUAUGUUUUGUAUACCUACUAUAUAUCAUCCACUAGAUGCUGGGUGUA